CGCAUCUGUGCAUGCAGUAUAUCAAUAAGCGGAGGAAAAGAAACUAACAAGGAUUCCCCUAGUAACGGCGAGUGAAGCGGGAAGAGCUCAAAUUUGAAAUCUUCAAGGUUUUACCUUGACGAAUUGUAGUUUAAAGAAGUGUUUUCUGCUGAAGUUUUGGUAAAAGUUCUUUGGAAUAGGACAUCAUAGAGGGUGAGAAUCCCGUAUUUGACCAUUAUUUUCAGCUUUGUGAUACACUUUCAAAGAGUCGGAUUGUUUGGGAAUGCAGUCCAAAAUGGGUGGUAAAUUUCAUCUAAAGCUAAAUAUUGGCGAGAGACCGAUAGCGAACAAGUACCGUGAGGGAAAGAUGAAAAGAACUUUGAAAAGAGAGUUAAACAGUACGUGAAAUUGUCAAAAGGGAAGCGUUUGACACCAGUGUUGUUUUUCUGAAAAUCAAUUAAAGAACUGUUUAUGCUAAGCUGUUUAGACUUUAUCAGCUAUCUGUUUAGUUUUGAGCUUUUCUUUAAUGCACUUUUCAGUUAACAAGUCAACAUCAAUUUCUUUUGCUGUAAAAAAGCUUGAGGAAGGUGGCUUGAGAUUCGUCUUAAGUGUUUAUAGCCUCUUGCCUAUGCAGUCGGAGAGAUUGAGGUCUGCAGCGUAGAUCCUUCGGGGCUAAAUGCAUUUGUGCUAAGUUAUAGCAUUUUAUAGACAACUUGUUGACUAUGAUUUGUCUUGUAGCUUACUCGCUUAUGUUAUUUUACCUACGCUUAGGAUGUUGAUAGUCACAGCGUGUAC
rnacentral:rRNA from 1 species